UACGUAGGGUGCGAGCGUUGUCCGGAAUUAUUGGGCGUAAAGAGCUUGUAGGCGGUUUGUCGCGUCUGCUGUGAAAAUCCGAGGCUCAACCUCGGACUUGCAGUGGGUACGGGCAGACUAGAGUGUGGUAGGGGAGACUGGAAUUCCUGGUGUAGCGGUGAAAUGCGCAGAUAUCAGGAGGAACACCGAUGGCGAAGGCAGGUCUCUGGGCCACUACUGACGCUGAGAAGCGAAAGCAUGGGGAGCGAACAGGAUUA
rnacentral:rRNA from 1 species